UUGGUGGCAGAACUCAGUCAAAUGACUACACGGACUUCAAGAGAGCUGGAAAAUGUAAUCUCGUCACGUGUCCAGGAAGAGGAGUUGGGUCGACAAUCAUCUCCGCCACACAAACCAGCAGGUUCACACCGAUGCGAUCCUGAUAAAAUAGGACCCUGAGAAAUUAAAAUCACCAAAAGCACCCUGAGGG